UCCGGUUGAUCCUGCCGGACCCGACUGCUAUCGGAUAGAGAUUAAGCCAUGCGAGUCGAACAUUUCUUAACUAUGUAAGAAGUGUGGCAUACGGCUCAGUAACACGUGGUCAACCUACCCUAAAGACAUGAAUAACCCCGGGAAACUGGGAUUAAUAUGUGAUAGGUCAUUUUUCCUGGAAUCGGUUUAUGACUUAAAGGAUUAUCGAGCAUGUUUGAUUAAUUGCUUUAGGAUGGGACUGCGACCGAUCAGGUUGUUGGUGGGGUAAUGGCCUACCAAGCCGAUAACCGGUGCGGGCUUUGAGAGAAGGAGCCCGGAGAUGGACACUGAGAAAAGGGUCCAGGCCCUACGGGGCGCAGCAGGCGCGAAAACUUUGCAAUGUGCGAAAGCACGACAAGGUUAAUCCGAGUGCAAUAUGCUGAAUAUAGCUUUUGGUAAAUGUAAAUAGUUUAUUGAAUAAGGGGAGGGAAAGUCUGGUGUCAGCCGCCGCGGUAAUACCAGCUCCCCGAGUGGUCGGGACGAUUAUUGGGCCUAAAGCAUCCGUAGCCGGUUCUGUAGGUCUUAUGUUAAAAUCAAUUGCUUAACAAUUGAACUGCAUGAGAUACCACAAAACUAGGAGGCGGGAGAGGUGGACGGUACUCCACGGGUAGGGGUAAAAUCCUCUGAACCGUGGAAGACCACCAGUGGCGAAGGCGGUCCACCAGAACGCGCUCGACGGUGAGGGAUGAAAGCUGGGGUAGCGAACCGGAUUAGAUACCCGGGUAGUCCCAGCUGUAAACGAUGCAAGCUAGGUGAUGCAUUAGCCACGUGUUAAUGCAGUGCCGCAGGGAAGCCGUUAAGCUUGCCGCCUGGGGAGUACGGUCGCAAGGCUGAAACUUAAAGGAAUUGGCGGGGGAGCACCACAAGGGGUGAAGCCUGCGGUUCAAUUGGAGUCAACGCCGGGAACCUUACCAGGAGAGACAGCAGAGUGAAGGUCAAGCUGAAGACUUUACCAGACAAGCUGAGAGGAGGCGCAUGGCCGUCGACAGCUCGUGCCGUGAGGCGUCCUGUUAAGUCAGGCAACGAGCGAGACCCUUGCCAUUAAUUGCUUCCAUUGAUCGAAAGGUUGGCGGAGCUAGUUAAUGGGACUGCCGUUGAUAAAACGGAGGAAGGAAGGGGCCACGGCAGGUCAGUAUGCCCCGAAA
rnacentral:rRNA from 1 species